AUUGAACGCUGGCGGCAUGCCUUACACAUGCAAGUCGAACGGCAGCGGACCUUCGGGUGCCGGCGAGUGGCGAACGAGUGAGUAAUAUAUCGGAACGUACCUUUCAGUGGGGGAUAACGUAGCGAAAGUUACGCUAAUACCGCAUAUUCUGUGAGCAGGAAAGCAGGGGAUCGCAAGACCUUGCGCUGAUUGAGCGGCCGAUAUCAGAUUAGCUAGUUGGUGAGGUAAAGGCUCACCAAGGCGACGAUCUGUAGCGGGUCUGAGAGGAUGAUCCGCCACACUGGAACUGAGACACGGUCCAGACUCCUACGGGAGGCAGCAGUGGGGAAUUUUGGACAAUGGGCGCAAGCCUGAUCCAGCCAUGCCGCGUGAGUGAAGAAGGCCUCGGUUGUAAG
rnacentral:rRNA from 1 species